GACAGAGGGUGCAAACGUUUGUUCGGAAUUACUGGGCGUAAAGCGCGUGUAGGCGGCUAUGUAAGUCGGGCGUGAAGUCCCACGGCUCAACCGUGGAAGUGCACUCGAAACUGCAUAGCUAGAGUCCUGGAGAGGAAGGUGGAAUGCUUGGUGUAGAGGUGAAAUUCGUAGAUAUCAAGCGGAACACCGGUGGCGAAGGCGGCCUUCUGGACAGUGACUGACGCUGAGACGCGAAAGCGUGGGGAGCAAACAGG
rnacentral:rRNA from 1 species